rnacentral:rRNA from 1 species
GUAGGUGGCAAGCGUUGUCCGGAAUUAUUGGGCGUAAAGCGCGCGCAGGCGGUUCUUUAAGUCUGAUGUGAAAGCCCACGGGCUCAACCGUGGAGGGUCAUUGGAAACUGGAGAACUUGAGUACAGAAGAGGAAAGCGGAAUUCCACGUGUAGCGGUGAAAUGCGUAGAGAUGUGAAGGAACACCAGUGGCGAAGGCGGCUUUCUGGUCUGUAACUGACGCUGAGGCGCGAAAGCGUGGGGAGCAAACAGGAUUAGAUACCCUGGUAGUCCACGCCGUAAACGAUGAGUGCUAAGUGUUAGGGGGUUUCCGCCCCUUAGUGCUGCAGCUAACGCAUUAAGCACUCCGCCUGGGGAGUACGGCCGCAAGGCUA